GACAAACGCUGGCGGGGUGCGUGAGACAUGCAAGUCGAACGGGGUUUCAUGGGGCUUGCUCUGUGAAACCUAGUGGCGGACGGCUGAGUAACGCGUAGGUGACCUGCCCGGAAGUGGGGAAUAACUGCCCGAAAGGGUGGCUAAUACCGCAUGUGGUCGUCGAAUCAGUUCGCCGACUAAAGGAGCAAUCCGCUUCCGGAGGGGCCUGCGUCCGAUUAGCUAGUUGGUGAGGUAACGGCCCACCAAGGCGACGAUCGGUAGCUGGUCUGAGAGGAUGAUCAGCCAGACUGGGACUGAGAACGGCCCAGACUCCUACGGGAGGCAGCAGUCGGGAAUUUUGCCCAAUGGACGAAAGUCUGAGGCAGCAACUCCGCGUGAGGGAUGAAGGCCUUCGGGUCGUAAACCUCUUUUCUCAGGGAAGAUUCAAGACGGUACCUGAGGAAUAAGCCACGGCUAACUACGUGCCAGCCGCCGCAGUAAUAC
rnacentral:rRNA from 1 species